UGGCUUUCUUGGCGUGUGGGACAUCAUCACCAGGAAGGUGAUGUCCCCAGCGUGAGGCUCAACUCCUGCACUCUGGGUGUUCUUGCUCUUCUGAUUUCCUCAAAUGUAGGAAACUCAGCUGCAUAAUCUGUGGCAAAGGGGAACUGUGUUUAUGCUCUCUGCUA
rfam:Phoenicopterus ruber ruber contig14182, whole genome shotgun sequence.